rnacentral:tRNA from 1 species
GUCCCCUUCGUCUAGAGGCCCAGUAAGACACCGCCCUUUCACGGCGGUAACAGGGGUUCGAAUCCCCUAGGGGACGCCA